UAGGGAAUCUUCCACAAUGGACGAAAGUCUGAUGGAGCAACGCCGCGUGAGUGAUGAAGGUUUUCGGAUCGUAAAACUCUGUUGUAAGGGAAGAACAAGUACGUUAGGAAAUGAACGUACCUUGACGGUACCUUAUUAGAAAGCCACGGCUAACUACGUGCCAGCAGCCGCGGUAAUACGUAGGUGGCAAGCGUUGUCCGGAUUUAUUGGGCGUAAAGCGCGCGCAGGUGGUUUCUUAAGUCUGAUGUGAAAUCUCGCGGCUCAACCGCGAGCGGUCAUUGGAAACUGGGGAACUUGAGUGCAGAAGAGGAUAGUGGAAUUCCAAGUGUAGCGGUGAAAUGCGUAGAGAUUUGGAGGAACACCAGUGGCGAAGGCGACUGUCUGGUCUGUAACUGACACUGAGGCGCGAAAGCGUGGGGAGCAAACAGG
rnacentral:rRNA from 1 species